rnacentral:tRNA from 1 species
GCCUGGGUGGCUCAGUCGGUUAAGCAUCUGACUUCAGCUCAGGUCAUGAUCUCACUGGUUCGUGGGUUUGAGCCCCGUGUUGGGCU